rnacentral:rRNA from 1 species
AGAUUGAACGCUGGCGGCAUGCCUUACACAUGCAAGUCGAACGGCAGCACAGGGGCAACCUUGGUGGCGAGUGGCGAACGGGUGAGUAAUAUAUCGGAACGUGCCCUAGAGUGGGGGAUAACGUAGCGAAGGUUACGCUAAUACCGCAUACGAUCUACGGAGGAAAGUGGGGGAUUCGCAAGAACCUCAUGCUCGUGGAGCGGCCGAUAUCUGAUUAGCUAGUUGGUAGGGUAAAAGCCUACCAAGGCAUCGAUCAGUAGCUGGUCUGAGAGGACGACCAGCCACACUGGGACUGAGACACGGCCCAGACUCCUACGGGAGCAGCAGUGGGGAAUUUGGACAAUGGGCG